GACGGAGGAUGCAAGCGUUAUCCGGAAUGAUUGGGCGUAAAGCGUCUGUAGGUGGUUUCUUGAGUCUACUGUUAAAGAUCAGGGCUUAACCCUGGGCAGGCAGUAGAAACUAAGAAGCUUGAGUACGGUAGGGGUAGAGGGAAUUUCCAGUGGAGCGGUGAAAUGCGUAGAUCUUGGAAAGACCACCAAUGGCGAAGGCACUCUACUGGGCCAUGACUGACACUAAGAGACGAAAGCUAGGGGAGCAAAUGGG
rnacentral:rRNA from 1 species